ACCUCGGAUCAGGUAGGAAUACCCGCUGAACUUAAGCAUAUCAAUAAGCGGAGGAAAAGAAACCAACAGGGAUUGCCUCAGUAACGGCGAGUGAAGCGGCAACAGCUCAAAUUUGAAAUCUGGCCCCCAGGCCCGAGUUGUAAUUUGUAGAGGAUGCUUCUGGCGACGCGACUUCCGAGUUCCCUGGAACGGGACGCCAAAGAGGGUGAGAGCCCCGUCCGGUCGUUCGCCUAGCCUCUGUGAAGCUCCUUCGACGAGUCGAGUAGUUUGGGAAUGCUGCUCUAAAUGGGAGGUAUACGUCUUCUAAAGCUAAAUACCGGCCAGAGACCGAUAGCGCACAAGUAGAGUGAUCGAAAGAUGAAAAGCACUUUGAAAAGAGGGUUAAAUAGUACGUGAAAUUGCUGAAAGGGAAGCGCUUAUGACCAGACUUGGGCCAGGUGAAUCAUCCGGCGUUCUCGCCGGUGCACUUUGCCUGCCCAGGCCAGCAUCAGUUCGCUUCGGGGGAUAAAGGCUUCGGGAAUGUGGCUCCUCCGGGAGUGUUAUAGACCGUUGCGCAAUACCCUGGGGCGGACUGAGGUACGCGUUCUGCAAGGAUGCUGGCGUAAUGGUCAUCAGUGACCCGUCUUGAA
rnacentral:rRNA from 1 species